GGGUGAGUCUCCUGUCUCCUCACCAAAUUGGGAUAAUAUAUACAAAAUAAUGCAUGUAUGUGUAGAAAAAGCAAUAUAAGAAUAUCAAAUCCUUUAUUGUAAUGAACUAAAAAAACAAUUUCAUUACAUUAUAUUAUAUUGAUUACAUUAUAUUGAACAUCUGCUAAAGCAUUAGAGUGACAAUUAGUUAUGGCAUGUAUUGUAUGUUAACUUAUUUCAACUUCCAAAGAAAUUCUUUGUUUGAAUUGGAAUUCAGCUGUUCAGUUUCUCUGAUUUCAUAUAAGAUUGGAAAUAUGUGACCUAGUAGGUGGAAGAUCAUAUCUAUACUUUUGAAAGAAAAUCUGGAUAUCACAUUUUUCUUCUGAAGUGCUAUGAGAUUGGAAAGCAUCAUGUGUGAUUUUUUUUUUUUUUGUAAAAUUAUUGUGGACCUUAAUUCUGCCAAGAAGUUUGAAACCAUAUUUUUUUUUUACAAAGUUAUUAUUUUUCCAGUGGAGACCGUAGGGAAGUUACUUGAUGGUGGUUCAAAGCCAUUUUUCUGCUUUUUCUUUUAAAGCUUAUCAAGGACCAACAUGCAUAUCUCAAAUUUUUAUGGUCUUCUUUUACCUAGUUUUGAGUCUCAACCAUCCCGUCAAUCCCCCUUCCCUAUUUUUUCUUUUAUUUGUUUAUUUAUUUUUUU
rnacentral:misc_RNA from 1 species